rnacentral:rRNA from 1 species
AUGGAUUACAACCCUGAGGUAUUGUGUUGGAAUGUGCGUGGUCUUAACAACCCCGCGAAGAGGAAGACGGUAAAGAGCUUUGUAGCAUCGGUGAGAGUUAACAUGGUGUGCUUGCAAGAAACUAAAUUGGAUGUAGUGGAACACUUUGUGAUAAUGGAAUAUUUAGGCCCGUCAUUUGACGGCCAUGCUUAUUUGCCGGCUACGGACACUCGUGGAGGUAUCUUAUUUGGCAUGGGAUAA